CCUUGAAAUACCACCCUGGUGUCGUUGAGGUUCUAACCUAGGCCCGUGAAUCCGGGUCGGGGACCGUGCAUGGCAGGCAGUUUGACUGGGGCGGUCUCCUCCAAAAAGGUAACGGAGGAGUGCAAAGGUACCCUCAGCCUGGUUGGCAAUCAGGCAAAGAGCGCAAGGGUAGAAGGGUGCUUAACUGUGAGACAGAUAAGUCGAACAGAUACGAAAGUAGGUCCUAGUGAUCCGGUGAUCCCGUAUGGAAGGGUCAUCGCUCAUCAGAUAAAAGGUACUCUGGGGAUAACAGGCUGAUCGCCACCGAGCGUCCACAGCGGCGUGGCGGUUUGGCACCUCGAUGUCGG
rnacentral:misc_RNA from 1 species